CUCAGGACGAACGCUGGCGGCGUGCCUAAUACAUGCAAGUCGAACGGUCUUUCUAUGGAAGCUUGCUUCCACUGAGAAGAUAGUGGCGAACGGGUGAGUAACACGUGGGUAACCUGCCCAUAAGAGGGGGAUAACAUCCGGAAACGGGUGCUAAUACCGCAUAGUUUUCUUGAUCGCAUGAUUGAGAAAGGAAAGACGGCCUUUGUGCUGUCGCUUAUGGAUGGACCCGCGGCGUAUUAGUUAGUUGGUGAGGUAACGGCUCACCAAGACGAUGAUACGUAGCCGACCUGAGAGGGUGAUCGGCCACAUUGGGACUGAGACACGGCCCAAACUCCUACGGGAGGCAGCAGUAGGGAAUCUUCCGCAAUGGACGAAAGUCUGACGGAGCAACGCCGCGUGAGUGAAAGAAGGUUUUCGGAUCGUAAAACUCUGUUGUCAGAGAAGAACAAGUUGGAGAGUAACUGCUCCAGCCUUGACGGUAUCUGACCAGAAAGCCACGGCUAACUACGUGCCAGCCGCCGC
rnacentral:rRNA from 1 species